CCACUUCUCCCAGUGCCUCUGGCGAUUUCCAAGUGGGAUCUGCGACUUCAGGGCUCUGGCCAAGCCCGCAGGCUGGCGUGAUUAGUUGCCGUUGAAGGGGGCUCCGCCAAUGAAAUCUUCUCUGCGCUCUGAUUUGGCGGUUCUUCGGUGCAAAUAUGACAGCUUUCUCUCUCAGCUCUUUUCUGCAUCUCUCCAUGUCCGACCCCGGAGCCCAGUUCUCGGUCUGCAAUUUCUACACCACAACCUUUGCAAUCACCACCACCACCACCCCUAGGUCCCAUGUCAGCAGGUGCCAGGUUGCUACAAAGGUGACAGGGCACAUUGGGAAGAAGGCUUGUUGAUUGCAGAAGAUACUUAUGCCCCGUGUUUCCAGUGCUAUGAAGUGCAAUGAGCUGGCCUGAGACUGUCAGAUGGAUUCUCCAGGGAAAGUGUUUUCCAGGAGCUUGCCAUGAACUGGAUUUAAGGUAUUGGGAGAUAAACAGAAGAAAGGGCUUUCAGAGAACUUCCAUGAAGUGUUGGCCAAUAGUUUACCUUACCCUCACCAGGGCUCCGAAGACGGUGUGUGCACAGACUGGCAUUGAGUCCAUGGUUGAAGGCUACAGAGGCUGGAGACUCGUGUCACCAGACAAUUGCUGCAACAGGAAUGGAGGUUCGCUGAGAAACACAUGUGAAGNNNNNNNNNNNNNNNNNNNNNNNNNNNNNNNNNNNNNNNNNNNNNNNNNNNNNNAAUUUUGAAUUUGUUGGGUAUUCAUUCAACUAGGUAUGUAACCAGUUGGUACUCCUUCCCCUAAAGAUUUACAUUCCAAAGUAAUAGUAAAAUUGAUCUCUUGUUGCAAACGGUAUUCACCCUCAUUUUACCCAAUAGCAAAUUUCAGAGAUGUUUGUUAAUCGCAAUGCUAGAGCAAACAAAAAUUUAAGGUAUAAUCUCCUUUAUAAACAUAAUAAGCUACUUCAGGGGUUCACGAGAAACCAAUUUUGCAACAGAUGUUAGCUUAUAAUGUUCUAAUUUUAAAUGGUGUUUGUUUAAUUCUUGGGGGAAAAUAUAUCAAUUAUCAUCCAUGGGGAGGAAAUAUAUCUCUCUUCUAGAACAAACUCUUGAAAAAAACUGCUUUUCGUGUAAAGUCUUAAAGUGUUUUAAUUCUGCUUUUCACUGUUAGUGGUUUGAGUUGUGAGGUAGCAGUAAUAGAAGGGAGAAGGGAGUCUAAGGCAGAUAAGUCUGAAGCCUACUUUUGUUAUAGCUUAAACUUCAAAAAAAAAGAAGAAAUAACUUCUCCAAGUUGUUUAUAUUUAUUUAUUUUUUAAGUGGAGGCAACAAUUGCUAGCUACCUAAUUACUAGUCCUCUGAGUUAUUUAAUCAAAGUAGUGAAUAUAAACUUCAUAAUAAGAGUCUGUAACACUUUCUGUUCACUGAGUGCUAGCUUCCAUGUCUAUCCAACAUCUGUGAGACUUUAUCUUAAAAUGUAAAUGUGAACAUUACUCAUAUUUCAAUCUUGUGAGGUUUAAUGAUGCACGCUAGCUCUGGUUUCUUUUUUAUGUCAGCAUAACAAAAUAUGCAACAAAAAUAGAUUCUCCUUCCUUAUGUGCAUGUAGGUUUCCAUUUGCUAUUGCCAAUUGGAAAGAAGAAAGGGUGUGUCUAUUUGGAAGAUAAGAGCUGGCGGGAAAUUGCAUAAUUAUCUAGCCAUUCUGAAACAUCUCAGUGGGUAUUUGUCAGUUCCUACAGACUGUCCAAAGGCAUAAUGGCAUAAUGAACAUUUCUACUAAGUAAGGAAAUUUAUAACUCUAACAUAUUUGAAAAUGACAAAGAGAAUCAAAGAAAUGUAAGCAAAUGCCACCAGUGCAUUUGGCUCUACUCUAAACUUCCCCUUGAUGCACACAGAGAGAGAUGAUGGGUGCUGCCCAACAUCUUCUGUAAUUCAGUUUAUUUUAUGCCAUUCUUCUUGGUGUUUUCCUAUAAGGUCACCAUCAUUUUGCCAAGAUAGACCAAGUAGAGAAUGGUGAGCAGGAAAAAUUGUGAGUCCGGUGGCAAUCAUUUAGAGUUUAUUGCAGAAAUGCUGUAUGGGAAAAUGUACACACACAACACACACACACACACACACACACACACACACACACACACACACACCAAAUGAAAAUGAGAUGUAAUAGAAUACAAAUGCAGGUUCAAAGUCUUUGGAUUCAUAGAUUCAUGAAUAUGGUAGAUUUUGUUGUUGUUUGUUGGUUUUGAAUUUUUGCUUUUUGUAUUUUCUGAAACUGAGUUUAUCCUAUAAUUUUUGAAAAUGAGGGGAUCUUUCAAGGCCCAGUUGUCCAUGAUCCGAGAAACUAAGAUAUCAGACACUUGCCGUCAUCAGAGAUCAACCAUGGACAAUGAUUUUGAGUUUCUUGUCUCACACGAGUGUUCAUGGAGUUAUGAAAAUCGGAGCAGGCUUUAUUAAGAAUUAUUUAAGAGGGGGCUGGAGAGAUGGCUCAUCAGUUAAAAGCACUGACUGCUCUUCCAGAAGUCCUGAGUUCAAUUCCCAUCAACCACAUGGUGGUUCACAACCAUCUGUAAUGGGAUCCGAUGCACUCUUUUGGUGUGUCUGAAGACAGCUACAGUGUACUCACAUACAUAAAAUAAAUAAAUAAAUCUUAAAAAAAUAAUUAUUAAAGAAAUUGAGAUACUGAGAAGGGAGAGAAGCUCCCAAGAGUGAAUCUUAAAGUGGUUUUCAGAUUGGUUUUUGUUAACAUACCUGCCUCUGCUUCUGAUAACUAUUAUUAUCCUACAAGAGGGCCAAUGGAUGUUAGUAUAUUAAGCAUGUAAGUGCUUAAAUUUAUUUUCAUUUUGUUGAACUAUCUUUCUGUGCAUUUUCAUGGAAGUUAAAAAAUACAAAUAAAUAUUUUGGUUAAAUAUCCUU
ensembl:lincRNA